rnacentral:rRNA from 1 species
UGGGGAAUAUUGCACAAUGGAGGGAACUCUGAUGCAGCGACGCCGCGUGAGUGAUGAAGGAAUUCGUUUUGUAAAACUCUGUUCUAUGGGAAGAAAAGGACUGUACCAUAGGAGAAAGCUCCGGCUAAAUACGUGCCAGCAGCCGCGGUAAUACGUAUGGAGCGAGCGUUGUCCGGAAUUAUUGGGCGUAAAGGGUGCGCAGGCGGCUUUACAAGUUGGAUGUGAAAUAUUGUGGCUCAACCACAAACGUGCAUCCAAAACUGCAAAGCUUGAGUUAAGGAGAGGUAAGUGGAAUUCCUGGUGUAGCGGUGGAAUGCGUAGAUAUCAGGAGGAAUACCGGUGGCGAAGGCGACUUACUGGACUUAAACUGACGCUCAGGCACGAAAGCGUGGGGAGCAAACAGG